UUUUGCCUACGGGAGGCAGCCGUCGGGCCUUUUCGGCCCUGGGGGGAACCCUGACCGAGCAACGCCGCGUGAAGGAAGGAGGAAUUCGUUCUGUAAACUUCUGUUAUAAAGGAAGAAAGACGGAUGGAGGAAAUGACAUCCGAGUGACGGUACUCUAUGAGAAAGCCACGGCUAACUACGUGCCAGCAGCCGCGGUAAUACGUAGGUGGCAAGCGUUAUCCGGAAUUAUUGGGCGUAAAGAGGGAGCAGGCGGCAGCAAAGGUCUGUGGUGAAAGACUGAAGCUUAACUUCAGUAAGCCAUAGAA
rnacentral:rRNA from 1 species